ACCUUUGUAGCUCAGUGGCAGAGCACCGGUCUUGCGAACCAGGGGUCGUGAGUUCAAUCCUCACAGGAGGCA